AUUGAACGCUGGCGGUAGGCCUAACACAUGCAAGUCGAACGGCAGCACAGUAAGGGCUGGCUCUUACGUGUGGCGAGUGGCGGACGGGUGAGGAAUACAGCGGAAUGUACGUUGUCGGGGGGUAUCACGUGGGAAAACUUACGCUAAUACCGCAUACUACCUACGGGUGAAAGCAGGGGAUCUUCGGACCUUGCGCGAUUGAAUGAGCCGAUGUCGGAUUAGCUAGGUGGGGGGGUACAGGCCCACCAAGGCGACGAUCCGUAGCUGGUCGGAGAGGAUGAUCAGCACCACUGAACUUGAGCCCGGUCCCAGACCCCUCCGGGAGGCAGCGGUGGGGAAAAUUGACCAAUGGGGGAAAGCCUGAUCAAGCCAUACGGGGGGGGUGAAGAAGGCCUUCGGGUUGUAAAGCCCUUUUGUUGGGAGAGAAAAGCAGCAGGUUAAUACCCCGCUGUUCUGACGGUACCCAAAGAAUAAGCACCGGCUACCUUCGU
rnacentral:rRNA from 1 species